rnacentral:misc_RNA from 1 species
UCUCGGUUUACACCGGCAGUUUCGCUAGAGUCCCCGGCAUUACCCGCUGGCAACUAACGAUAAGGGUUGCGCUCGUUAUGGGACUUAACCCGACACCUCACGGCACGAGCUGACGACAACCAUGCAGCACCUUGCAGAGAGUUCCGAAGAAAAUGAUGAUUUCUCACCAAUGCACUCUACAUUUAAGCCCAGGUAAGGUUCCUCGCGUAUCAUCGAAUUAAACCACAUGUUCCUCCGCUUGUGCGGGCCCCCGUCAAUUCCUUUGAGUUUCAGCCUUGCGGCCGUACUCCCCAGGUGGAUCACUUAAUGCUUUUGCUUAGCCGCUGACUGUGUAUCGCCAACAGCGAGUGAUCAUCGUUUACGGCGUGGACUAC